AUUUCUUAAUUAUAUUUAUAUAGUUUAAUGUAAAACAUUACAUUUUCAUUGUAAAAUUAAAUAUUAUUUUUUAUAA
rnacentral:tRNA from 1 species